rnacentral:rRNA from 1 species
UACAGAGGUGGCAAGCGUUGUUCGGAAUCACUGGGCAUAAAGGGCGCGUAGGCGGCGAGGUAAGUCGGGUGUGAAAUCCCUCAGCUCAACUAGAGGAACUGCGCCCGAAACCUUACCUUGCUAGAGUGCAGGAGAGGAGAGUGGAACUCCUAGUGGAGCGGUGAAAUGCGUAGAGAUUAGGAGGAACGCCGGUGGCGAAAGACGACUCUCUGGCCUGUAACUGACGCUGAGGCGCGAAAGCUGGGG